CCAGGAGUUCGAGGUCCUGAAGACCUUCUCCUCGCCCCGCACUGUCAUCUCUGCUCUGCAGAAAACAUCCAUAUGCCACUUGAAGAACACAUGGGGGAAGUUUCCUGGGAGAGCUCUGAAAAAUUUAAGGAGAGCUAUAGCCAAGACGUGUCCUUGAACAGAGAACUGAUGACCAAGAUUAACAAGCAGAGGGAUCUGUUCUGCCCAUGGGCAGGUGGGGUGCCAUUUUUGGGCAGGAGGCCUUGGUCAUGGGACACAGUGGUGUUGGCUGGGCUGUUCCAGGACG